UUUUCAUCCCUGCCAGAGGUAAAAAUAGCCGUAUAAACGGCAGUUAGUUCUGGUGGAAUACUCUGCUGUACCCCUACAUGUGCAUCAAAGAAAAUAGUGUAACCAG
rfam:Yersinia mollaretii ATCC 43969 contig01068, whole genome shotgun sequence.